UAAAAUAAAAAAGGAAGAAAAAAAGAAAAGCAAAACCAGACAGACAUGUCAAGAAUGUCAUAGUGCAAGUAUACCUUAAAGCAAAAGAUGGCAGUACCUCAGCAGACUGGAAGUUUGAGGCAGCCAGCUCAGCCUUGUGCCUUUGACUGCAAUUGACCUGAGUUACACUUAACAAAACCUCAUGGAUCCUGCCCACAAGGAAGAAUUUAUUCCACAGUCCUGUUUAACUGAUUUGAGAUCUCUCAGGACAACAAAUAAAGGAAGAAGUACUGAAAAGAGAAAGAAGCUGUGUACCAGGUAAAGCUUUACAUGUAACCUUUUUCUACUUCCUUGAAAUAGAGGAGAUAAACCCAGAUCCAGUGUCCACUAGAACUUAGAUCUUUUAAGAGACCAACCUGAGGAAGCCUGUAGCAGAAAGCCCAGAAAGUUAUUUACUGCAGAGCCAUUCCUCAUUCUACGUAAUUAUGGACAAAAUACAUUGUUCUGCAUGAUAGGCCUGUAACAAUUUCUUCUUGGAAAUGUACUCUCUUGUAUGAGACAAAGCAUCUGAAAAUAUAGCCAGAAAAUAAAGAUAGAUUCUCAAAUAGCAUAAUUCUACUGUUGUUCAAUGUAAAAUACUGAAUUACUGUUUUGGGGGUAAGUCCACAUCAUCUAAAAACUUAAUGUAAGGUGUAAGGAAAUUUCAGUACAAUUUCAUCUACACUAUCAUUAUUCAGUUUUUCUCCCUUGUCAACUGCAAUUUCACAUUCUGCAUUUAAAACUAUAUCAUCUCUAGGCAUAUACGGAUUUCAUGUUUGUCACAGAGAUUCAAUGAACCAUAUAUGUUCAUGUGUAUACAAUGAUGUUUCUAUCUCAGACAAUGUAUGUGUGCUAACAUAUCUAGGUCUGAGAGAUUAACAACAGCACUCCAAACUACCUAGAUUUUGUACUUAGAACAUUUUUUUUUUUUUUUUUUUUUUUUAAUGGUUGUCUUACAAACAAGUACUUCUAUGUAUAUGUAAGAUAAUCCUUACCACUAUGUGUGUAAACAAACAGCUCCAUACAGUAAAGAAUCCUAUUAUUUGUUGCUACAGCACAUGUGCUCAGUCUCAUUAUCAUCCAGAAGACCCAGUUCUGUGUAUACACCACAGAAUUUACCGCAGAACUGGAAUGUAGCAAUACAAACCAAACUUUUUAUGCAUAUGAAGCCCUCACAUACCAGAACAGAAUAGAACAGAAAUUCCUAAAGAAUAAGUGUUCAAACAGUAUUAUAGCACAUCCUGAAUUGUAGUGUAUAAAAUAGCCCAAACUUAGCUGAUUUGAUUUUCUUCAGUUAUUUAAAUCUCAUUACAUAUGCCCUAUUUAAUUCCCUCUCCAUUUAAAUUGAUAUAAAACAUGAAAAAUCCUGUAAAUAAUUUAGUGUGAAAAAAUAUACAAGCUAAUUAAAAGCUAAAACUUGAAACCCAAACACAUUGUAAACACUUUUCUUUUUAAGAAGAGAGAACUUUUUUUUUUUUCAUUUUUGAAGCUGUCCUUUGUUUUGUUUUGAAGAACCAAUGAGAUUUUGUAGUAUACUUUUACAGAGUAAAACUGCUUACAAAGAAACCUUUAGGUUUCAAUUCCUUUGAUUUCAUAUUACCAACAAGGGUUUGGUGGAUUUUUUUUGGUUUAUUUUUAAUGCUGUUUAAAUUAUAAUUAAAUGAAUAAAACCUACAUGUAUUCUUUACCAUGCAAUGUAAUUUUCUGUAAUUACAAAUUAAAAAUGUCAUCAUGAUUAUUAAUUGCUCUCUUUAAUUGUAAUUUGAGCAUUUGAAUGCCACCUUACAAGAUAUUACUGAGGUCAGACUUUGGUGGCAGAUGUCAGUGGGAGGAGUGGAGGAGACAGGAGAAAGAUGGUGCAUUAAUGCAGCAGCACUUUCCAUCAGCAGAUCCAUGUGCCACAGACAUGUAGAAGGUAAUAAUUAAAAACAAAAAAAUCCUCUCCUUUUAUUCAUGAGUUGCACUGCUGUAUACUUCACUUUUAUGCCCAAUAGAUCUUAAAACAGAUAUUCAUACAUUAAGCUGUUCUUGCUCUUCAACAAUUUUCAGGUAAAGAUCUUCCUGAAAAUAUAAUAAGUGUAACAUCUAAUUAACAUUUUACAUUCAUUUGUAUUAUCUACUUUCAAAAUGAUGAGAAUUAUCCAAAUAAGAUUUAUGACCUUAUGUUAAUCUGACUGAAACUGCAUCAUGUUCAUUUUUUUCUUCCUCCUUUUUUUCAGAAAUUUCAAAGUAGCUUUUUUCAAGAGGCUCAAGAGACCUGUUUUCAAAUGCACAUUAAGACACAUACUGUUCACAUUCCUGUUCCCUGCCAUCUGUGGAGAUCUUCAAAUAUUCAAAACACAGUUCCAAAGGAUUCCAGUUCUAUUCCUACUAUUUGACAUUUUUAUUCCUAUUCUUUAAUAGUUCAGUCAUUAAACGUAUUAAUGAAAAAUCUCUUUUUGAAAUAUGAAAAAUGAGUCAUAGUUUCUGGUAAAAUAAAACUGUGUUUAUCAUUUCAAUGAAAUAAAGAAAUGCUUAAGUAA